AAGACUAUACUUUCAGGGAUCGUUUCUAUCAUUUGUUACUAGAGAAGUUCCUCUGAACACGUAGAGCACACGAACCCACGAGGAAGAGAUGGCAUGUUCUCUCCUGAGCGGGAAGCCGGAUCUUGGUGUUGCUUCAUUAGCUGCCACCUGCCAUUGGUGAUCAUUCUUCUCUCUCUUUUGAGAGAACAAAAGAGAGAGAACACCGUCUGGGUGGU